rnacentral:rRNA from 1 species
UGGUGGCGAGUGGCGAACGGGUGAGUAAGUAUCGGACGUACCUUCGAGUGGGGAUAACGUAGCGAAAGUUACGCUAAUACCGCAUAUUCUGUGAGCAGGAAAGCAGGGGAUCGCAAGACCUUGCGCUGAUGGAGCGGCCGAUAUCAGAUUAGCUAGUUGGUGAGGUAAAGGCUCACCAAGGCGACGAUCUGUAGCGGGUCUGAGAGGAUGAUCCGCCACACUGGGACUGAGACACGGCCCAGACUCCUACGGGAGGCAGCAGUGGGGAAUUUUGGACAAUGGGGGCAACCCUGAUCCAGCCAUGCCGCGUGAGUGAAGAAGGCCUUCGGGUUGUAAAGCUCUUUCGGCCGGGGAAAAAAUCGCCUCUCCUAAUACGGGGGGUGGAUGAUGGUACCGGACUAAGAAGCACCGGCUAACUACGUGCCAGCAGCCGCGGUAAUACGUAGGGGUGCGAGCGUUAAUCGGAAUUACUGGGCGUAAAGCGUGCG